GCAUUAUACGGCGAAACUGCGAAUGGCUCAUUAAAUCAGUUAUCGUUUAUUUGAUAGUACCUUACUACAAGGAUAACCGUGGUAAUUCUAGAGCUAAUACUUGCAAAAAAUCCCGACUUCGGAAGGGAUGUAUUUAUUAGAUUAAAAACCAAUGCCCUUCGGGGCUCUCUGGUGAUUCAUGAUAACUUCUCGAAUCGCAUGGCCUUGCGCCGGCGAUGGUUCAUUCAAAUUUCUGCCCUAUCACCUUUCGACGGCUGGGUCUUGGCCAGCCGUGGGAACAACGGGUAACGGAGAGUUAGGGCUCGACUCCGGAGAAGGAGCCUGAGAAACGGCUACUACAUCCAAGGAAGGCAGCAGGCGCGCAAAUUACCCAAUACCGACACGGUGAGGUAGUGACAAUAAAUACUGAUACAGGGCUCUUUUGGGUCUUGUAAUUGGAAUGAGUACAAUUUAAAUCCCUUAACGAGGAACAAUUGGAGGGCAAGUCUGGUGCCAGCAGCCGCGGUAAUUCCAGCUCCAAUAGCGUAUAUUAAAGUUGUUGCGGUUAAAAAGCUCGUAGUUGAACCUUGGGCCUGGCUGGCCGGUCCGCCUCACCGCGUGCACUGGUCCGGCCGGGCCUUUCCCUCUGGGGAACCGCAUGCCCUUCACUGGGUGUGUCGGGGAACCAGGACUUUUACUUUGAAAAAAUUAGAGUGUUCAAAGCAGGCCUAUGCUCGAAUACAUUAGCAUGGAAUAAUAGAAUAGGACGUGCGGUUCUAUUUUGUUGGUUUCUAGGACCGCCGUAAUGAUUAAUAGGGACAGUCGGGGGCAUCAGUAUUCAAUUGUCAGAGGUGAAAUUCUUGGAUUUAUUGAAGACUAACUACUGCGAAAGCAUUUGCCAAGGAUGUUUUCAUUAAUCAGGAACGAAAGUUAGGGGAUCGAAGACGAUCAGAUACCGUCGUAGUCUUAACCAUAAACUAUGCCAACUAGGGAUCGGACGAUGUUAUUUUUUGACUCGUUCGGCACCUUACACGAAAGUACA
rnacentral:rRNA from 1 species